UACGUAGGGCGCAAGCGUUAUCCGGAAUUAUUGGGCGUAAAGAGCUCGUAGGCGGUUUGUCGCGUCUGCCGUGAAAGUCCGGGGCUUAACUCCGGAUCUGCGGUGGGUACGGGCAGACUUGAGUGAUGUAGGGGAGACUGGAAUUCCUGGUGUAGCGGUGAAAUGCGCAGAUAUCAGGAGGAACACCGAUGGCGAAGGCAGGUCUCUGGGCUGUAACUGACGCUGAGGAGCGAAAGCAUGGGGAGCAAACAGG
rnacentral:rRNA from 1 species